rnacentral:lncRNA from 1 species
CUUUCUAUGUGCGCGCUGGUGUGCAAGAUCAGGUUAUUGCUCUUCAGUAUGUGCCUUCCGAGUUACGGUUGGCGGAUUUCCUGACGAAGGCCCAAUCUAGAGCACAACAUGGCUUUUAUCUCUUCAAACUCAGUGUUGUUCAUCCACCAUGAGUUUGAGGAGGGGUGUUAGAGUUAUAAUAUAAGUCAUGUACCCCUUUGUAUUUAUCCCGUUGUAUAAGGGGUUUCCUGCAUAUAGUCCACCACAUGCACAUGUAUAUAUAUCGGCCUAUGGCCUCAUGGGAAUACAAGUUGCUUUUCCUAAUAGACCUAAGCUAGUCAGGUAAGAUUAGUUAGCCUAAUCCAGUUUCCUACUUAGGCCUUUAAAUUAUUUCUGUCAAGGGAAGCAUGUUCAGUUGCCUCUUAUUUUUCUUCCUCUUAGCUUCAUAUCAGUCGGCGCUUUUCCAUCACCAGUGAACAUUAAAAAUGAAUGCAAUUGCAUGAUCACACGGGAGUAUAAUUAAGUAGCAGCAGCAUAUACGAUCUGUAAUAAUGCAAAGCAUAGCCAGACAACCAUUCGAUGCUGAUUACAAUCAAAGCUGCAACAAAAGGUCAAUGAAAAUUGUUAAUCUGACAAAAGAGUGAAAGCAUCAUUAAUACUGGAAGAAAACUAAAUAUUACUCCCUCCGAUCUAAAAUAAGUGUGGCAGUUUUGAACUAACCCCAGCUCAAAACUGCGACACUUAUUUUGGAUUGGAGGUAGUAGAAAGAAAAUAUUUUCUAUAAAAAGUAGAAGGAACAUGUCACCUGCAGCUCAUACAAAAUUAGCAACAUCCAAAGACAAUCAACUAUAAUUCAAACUAAUUAUUUGCUCCCAGCCACCAACAAAGGCAAAUGAACUGGGAGCACAAAGGGGUAAACCAUAGCUGUCAUACAACCCAAGCAACUAAGGAAGUACAGGACAAAGUUCUUCCAAGCCCAAGCAAGUAAAAAGGAGGCAAUUUAUCCAUGAAUUCAGACCAAGACAAAAGGAGAAUAAAAGGUUCCAAACAGAGCAUAUAGGCAAACAAAGCACACAGGCCAAGACCCAAACAUCAGAAAAACAAAAUUGGCGGCGCAUUGGAAAUUGCUAUUAACCAAAACUUUUAUAUUAUUGAUUCUCAGGGAAGUCCAUCCUACUGUAAGCCUAAAUUCUGUAAUGCAUGAGCUACCCCAAUGGACUCAGAUAAAUCAAGGAUGGAGUGAUAAAAGGCCUGAAGGAAAUGGACCAUAUUAAAAUUCAUAGCUCUGGUAAAAGGAUGCCCAUCCCACACAGCAGGUCAGUAGCCAAGCAAGCUCAUAAAGUCAUAAUUCAAAUGAUAAAUUCAGAGAUGCCACUUGCCAUCAUUCAGUAUGGCUAUGAUGAGAACCAUGAAUAAUGCCAGAAGAACAAACCUGCAACCAUAAAAGACAGCAAGAUUAUGGAUGGUGAAAUACUGUCACCAUUACCUACUAUUGGAUUUGCUGCUGCAUUCUUGCCACUAUCCGUAUGGUGAUGCAAACCGCAUAAAUUUGCAGACAAGUAGUACAAAUCGUCAGAACUCUUGUAGUAGAAGAAAACAAAGGAACUUCAGCUGAACUUUAC